GCGCCCGUAGCUCAAUUGGAUAGAGCAGCGGACUUCUAAUCCGCAGGUUGCAGGUUCGAGUCCUGCCGGGCGCG
rnacentral:tRNA from 1 species